GAAUACAUGUAAAAAUGUGGCAAGCACCAGAUCCCAUCUGACCUUUGAAGCUAAGCAGGAUCAGCCCGUCUUAGGACUUGGAUGAGAGACUGCCAAUAAAUAUUAGGUGCUGUAAGCU
rnacentral:rRNA from 11 species